rnacentral:rRNA from 1 species
AUUGAACGCUGGCGGCAGGCCUAACACAUGCAAGUCGAGCGGAUGAAGGGAGCUUGCUCCUGGAUUCAGCGGCGGACGGGUGAGUAAUGCCUAGGAAUAUGCCUGGUAGUGGGGGAUAACGUCCGGAAACGGGCGCUAAUACCGUAUACGUCCUGAGGGCGAACGUGGGGGAUCUUCGGACCUCACGCUAUCAGAUGAGCCGAGGUCGGAUUAGCUAGUUGGUGGGGUAAAGGCCUACCAAGGCGACGAUCCGUAACUGGUCUGAGAGGAUGAUCAGUCACACUGGAACUGAGACACGGUCCAGACUCCUACGGGAGGCAGCAGUGGGGAAUAUUGGACAAUGGGCGAAAGCCUGAUCCAGCCAUGCCGCGUGUGUGAAGAAGGUCUUCGGAUUGUAAAGCACUUUAAGUUGGGAAGAAAAGCAGUAAGUUAAUACCUUGCUGUUUUGACGUUACCAACAGAAUAAGCACCGGCUAACUUCGUG